UGAUAAUGUGUUAGCUCACAAUCAAUUGAUGACCAACAACUACUCAUCAUCUCUUUCUCUACAUUAAACCCUAAUUCACGUAACAAGUAGACCUCUCUCUUCUCUUCAACCACCUUCAAGAUCUUCUCAAACACGGAUACUUGGCAUGGGAUCUUUAACACUCCCUCUUGUUGAAACCCAAACUCCUUUUCUGCCUCUCGCAGCAGUAUCCCAAAGGCUUGAUGGCCCAAGUACUCUGUAGGAAUCACAUAUCUCUUCAACUCUUUCCCAACACAAACGGCGAG
rnacentral:misc_RNA from 1 species